GGGGAAAUGGUGUAGGGGUUCUCACAUUUGCUUUGCAUGUAGAAGGUCCGGGGUUCAAAUCCCCGUUUCUCCA
rfam:Metarhizium majus ARSEF 297 Scaffold_135, whole genome shotgun sequence.